GAGGGGAGAGAACGAGCCUAGGCGGCGGCAGGCCCUCAGCCGCUUUCGCUCGGCAGCGCCGCCGCCGAGGGCUUCGGAGAAAACCCGGCCCGGAAUUCGCGCCUCUCCGGAGCCUGCGCAGCCUCCCUCCUGGCGUUACGCUCUCCUGGCCGCACCAAGGGGCGCGGGCAGCGUGAACUUUACCCGCGCCUGCAAAAUUGAUCUGAGCCAGAGACCGGGGGGCGCCUCAGCCCAGGCCUGGCCCCCUGCAGCGGACCAGGUCUCUACAGCACUUUUCUUCCUCAAAGCCUUUUACAGACCUGCCCUAAAGACCCAGCUGAGUGAGCCCUGCUUUUCACCCGCUUUGGCAAGCCCAAAGGAAGGAUGAUCAUUGUUCAGACUAUCCGUUUUUCCACUGCCCUGCCCUCAUUAGCGGGUCCUGACAAGGCCUUGGGGGCAUGAGGUCCAGGAUUAUCCCCAUUUCACAGAAUUGAAAGACAAGGGGAGGGGACUGCCCAGGUCAGCAGGCAGAGGACAGCGGCUAUAAAAUGAAGUGGAGUCCCCAAGCUGCCUCUUAUUUAGCCUAAAAAGAAGAAGAAGAAAAAGUCUCAAGUUGUGCAAAUCCAACAAUAGGAUCAGAGUGUCAGAAUGGGUUUGAAAUCAAAACUGAUCAACUCACCACUGACUUAAAAUAGUGACCACCAAAGCUACUUUGGGGGCUUAGGACAGUCUUCUGGCAGAACCCAAGUUCCAUUAUUACUUCUUAAGGGAAAUUAGCCAAUAAUGACCAAUAGCCCCAGUCUCCAAAGACUUUUAGGACUAAACAGCCCACAGAAGAGUCUCCAGGGACUGUCAGAACCAGAGUGUUCCACACAAACUACUGCAGAAGAGGGAUGCAGUGAAUGGAAACCAUUUUCUCCUUGAAGAGAGAAAAGGUACAAACAGGUCACUUAGGAAACGGAGGCUACUCAGAUUUGUUUUCUAUCCUGCAGUGUAAAAAUUCUUCAAAGUUUACAUUACAUUCUAAGAGACCCUAAGGCCAGGUUUAUCUGAAAAGAUCAAGGCAUUCAUAGAAAACCCCAGUGUUUUCCUGAUCUGCAGACACCACCAAAUCCCAGCAGCAGUCCUUUAGUCCCCAGGCUGACUUGGAAUGCUAUGACAGGCUUGAGAAGCCAGAGGGGAUUCUAACUUCUUACCAGGCCCAAGGGUGCACUGGGAAAGGCCCAGGGCAGCAUCACUAGGCACCAGGGCCCCUUUCCUCCUCAGAUUUUAUAAAUGGAGAUUUUAUGGCCACUAAAUCAUUAUCUUAGAACUUAGAGAUACUGCAGGCCCCUGGAGUUCUGACGUGUCAUUGGUCCCACUGAAUAAUUCCAAAAUCCUGAAUUCUUUUCUACCCCCAAGAAACCAAUAACCAAACUACAAUACAAGGCAAAACCUUCCUGUUCAUCUAGAAUGGUAACCCCCAACCUUCUGCUGCCUACCUCACCCAAGCCAAGAACCAAAGGAGCCUACCAAGAAGAUCCAAUUGACUGGUAUGUACCAUGUACCAAUGCCCUCUUUUCACUAACAAUCCUCAGAGGCAACAACUCUCCUGGAGCAUUAGGUCCUAGAAACCAAAUUACAGGCUGCCUCAUAAAUGGAGCUUGGCUAUUUAAUCAACUGCCUUGGAGCUGGCAAACAGUCCUGAGUCCUGCACACAAAUGAGGAAUUUUUUACAUGCAAUUACCCUGCCAUUUUCCUCAGAGCUGGGGUGUAAUGGGAAACCUGGAACCCAGUGAAAAUCUGGAAGCCAGAAUGGAUUUGUCUCCAAAGAAAGCCCCGUCCUUCAAUGGCUGUGAAAUACAGAAAGCGCCAAAAUCCCUUUCCCUGCACGUGGGCACGCUAUUUUGAAAACAAUCACCAUUGUAAUCUAGCAAUAAGGUAAAGUGCACAAAAAUUACCCACCUGGGUCGGGAUAAGUGAUGUGGGAUUUCUCCUUUCCUACUUUAUUUUUUCCCCCUAGAACUCGUUUUUUUGGGUUCUCUUCCACUCCUAUCUUUAGAUACCCACACCACUAAUCUAGGGACUGCUGGGCUGAGGAACUUUCUUAGAAACUGGCCCAUCCGCUUUCCCUAGGGGCACUGGAAACGCGGAAGGGGGAGGGGGAGCCGGGCACGUGGCUGGCCCGAGCAGCGAGACCCCGGCUCAGGGCCGUGGGUCCUCCCCUCGGUGGAGUGUUCUCCCCCACGGCCCCUGCCUUUUAACCCCACACCCAGGCGGCUCAAGAAUCCCGGCGCAGAUUAUAGGACUAGGACAGCGCUCCCCUCCCGAAAGCGCCUCUGCCACCAACAGCCUGAUGGCAAAUAUGGACUGAAUCGUUGACAUGGAAACCGGACUAAAGUCUCGCUCGCGCUCCCUCACUGGAGAGUUCUUAUCUCGGUGCCCGACCCGACGGCACUCGGCAAACGCGGACUGGACCUCCGGCCCGCGGAUCCGGCCGAGUUUCUGGGCUCAGAACCCCAGCGGCUGCGGCAGCCGAGGGAGGGGGGCAGGGCUGCCAGGACAAACCGACUGAAAAUGGCAGAGGAUGUGCUCUCAUUUUAUCCGGCUGCACAGCGCACAUGGAUUGGGUCCGAGAAUGAGGGAACAACCUAUGAAAAUCCCACACAGUCAACUGCAAAAUGUGGAAGCGGGGCCUGGAGGGUUUGCUAGGAAAAGGAAACGUUUGCAGGGAGGACAGUCCUUCCUCUCUCGCAGUUUGCUUCCCCUAAAUGUAUGAAAUACAAAACUCCACAAACAAAAGAUCGAGCGCUCCUACUCGGGGCUCCUUCCUUCUUUCCCCCACUCCUUUUUGGAGGAGACGUUUUAAACCCAGGAACCCCGUGAGGGUUUGGUCCGGGUACAAAGUAAGGCGAGGAGAAUCCGCGCAGCGCGGGGCGCUUGCCCCCACACAUUCCCUCCGCGGGCAAGCAGCAGACACCCAGGCGAGCGCUCUGGAGUGCGAACUGGAGCUGCGAGUUUGAGCAAAAGGGCAACUGUGUCAGUUGACGGAAGCCAGAAGCAGAGUUCAAAGCCUGGCGUGGAUUUCCGUCUGGAGCUGUCUGUUUCUUAAAGUUUGUAACUCCGUGUUAAGAAACAGCCCCAGCGGAGGCUUUGGGAUCAGUGUGAAAGUCUAGCACUACCAUCUGACAGCGAGCUGCAAAACUUUGGGCUGCAUAUUAAGCGAGGAAAGUGGAUUGAAGCUAGAGUCAAGGCAAUUCAUUAUGUUCCCGGCUCCCAGGCGGGAGCGGUAAAAUACGAACUGGAUUAACGCGGAGGAAAAUGGAAUGGAGUCUCCAGCUCUUCACGGAUAAAACUGAGCCUGCCUAGGACCUCGAAUCCCAAAGGAGCGAACCGGUUGCCUCAAACUUGGUCAGAGCUUAACAACUGCUUUUCUAGAUCCCUUUUCUAUUCAUCUGAAAAUCUUAAUAAACAAUUUGGGGGAAAGUACGUUUCAGAAUAAUGAUAAGUAACACAUUUUGAAAAAUGUUAAUCUCUGAAUGAGAUGGGAAUACAUACAUACAUAUGUAUGGCUGGGAUUGUGGCUUAGUGGUAGAGCACUUGU
rnacentral:lncRNA from 1 species